GGGGCUGUAUCUCAGUGGUAGAGAGCUUGCCUAGCAUGUGCGAGGCACUGGGUUUGAUCCUCAGCCCCA
rnacentral:tRNA from 1 species